CUCACAUUUCGUUUCUUUCUUCGACUAGGUUAUUUUUUUGUUGUGCGUUUCACCUUGAUUACCUCUUUGAAUCCCAUAGGAUAAAAUCAAUCAGAAAAUAUGGAUAUUAUUUGAAUGGGGAGUUAAUCGAUCCAACUUUUCCUAAUUAACAUGCUUCUUCUCGAAUCGUGCAUAUGAUUAAUCCUUUCUUUACGCUUUUUUCUAUGAGGAAUCAUUGUUCUGAAAGAGUUUUCUCUAACUUGCAAUAUCUCCCGUUUUUAUAUAAUCGAGGAUCGUUUCUUAUGUAACCUAUAUUUCCAUGCAAGAAAUCUCUUCUCAUCAAUUUGUCUGAAGAGUUUGACAAAUUUUAUCGUGGACGUAAUUUCUCGGUUAUCCUUACUGGGAAGGAAGUCAUGGUGGGAAAUUGUAAGGUGUUUUUUUAAAUUGUAUAGGUCUUUACCGGUGAAAUUCAAAUCCAUGAAUAACAAUUCAUGAAUAGCUUAAGAAUGAUUAUAUUAUUGUUUCCUGCUUCCACAUGUUUCUUUUGAUCAUAUUGUUGAGAAUGAUUUUGCUUUUCAUUUUCAAACGCAAUAAUAUGUAUACCGAGCAAUCCAAAUACACUUUCAGGUUAGCGAUUUUUUUUUUAGUGAUUUGAUGAUAGGUGUUAAGGGUUUCCUGAAUGUUCAUCUCCAUUUUGUAAGGUUUGUUUUAAUGUGCAUGGUGUAUCAUAGUUAUAUCACGGACUCUCCCCUUGAAGAUUCAAGUUCUUAUUUUCGUACAUUCGUGCUCUGUUAACCAUGGGUAUGUGAUUUUACCUUCUGUUCAACCUGAUAAAUAUUUUCCAACUUGAUCUUAGAAGUGCACGGUUUUGUAUGACCAUAAGUAUAAGCCAUAUACGCUUUGCUCUGGGUGCAUGGGUUCUUUAGUUUAUGAGGAUAGACUUUCUAAAAGAUUUUGUUUUUAUGUAUUUCCUACCAUCUUUGAUCUUUCAGUUAUAUGUAUUGCUUAUCACUUUCAUGUUUUCGUAUUUGUGGAGCAGAUAUGCCUUUAAACUUGAGCUUACACUGUUAGAGAGGGUGAGAGUCGUGGGACUCUUAGACGUGGUUUUCAGUUUGUUGAGCUAAUACUCAAUAUGCACAUGAUGAUUCGUUACUGAGUAGUAUCCAAAAGUAACUAUUGUUAACUUUGAAGCUUAUUAUGCCAAUUUUUCGCAGCAUCACUCUAUUAGAGGCGUUGCCACUUUUUUAUUCCUGCGGGAGUAGAUGUAUGCAAAUCACAUCUAGACUGUUGUCUAAGACUUCAAUGCUAUACGUUUGGCUUGGCAGAGGCUGCAAGGGGGACAUAGUUGGAAAAUUAAUGGUCCAACUAAAGCAAAUAUGUUCAGCAAUUUUGCAUUGACCGAGGAAAUUUGAAGGAUUAAACAUCUCAUUUCCUAAUGAUUUCGCUUGCCCAGAUUGACAGAUUUACGUUGAAGAUUGGGACUGAUACCUAAUACUGAGAAGUACUUUGUUCAAUCCUUUGAAACUGCUGAACGGUAAGUGUUUCAGGAUUAUACGAUCCCAAUGGUUGAUCUAUUUUUUACUCGCUUCUUUGAACUUGCCAAUCUGUUUUGUGCUAUGAGUAGUAUGUUUGUUGUUUAAUACGCUUAUAAUUCCCUUUCAUUGGUUUUCUAACUAUGUACCUGAUGGCUGAUAUUUUUGUAGGAUGUUGAGUUCUUUCUUUCAUUUGUUGUUUUUAUUAAUUACCUGAUGCUGAUAGUUUUGUGCCAUGAGUUGGAUAUUGAGUUCUUACAUAUUUAAUUAAACUUGGGUUCUCUUAAGGUCUUGAAUUUUUUAACAGUGACAUCCUUCUUAAUUGCUAAGAUACUCAUAGUUUCUUGUUUAGUUAACCAAUCUCGCCCUUUAUUGGCUCAAUAUGAAAUCAAAUAGGGAUAUGAUUGUUAUUAGCAUGACCAGUUUGUGUGUAGAAGGGAAAAACAGAAGUUACUAACUGUAAACAGAUGUCACUUUAUUUGUAGAGCAACAGUUCAAUUACAUAUUUGAAUUGCAUCAAAUGCUGACAAGUUAGUUUUUUGUUCCGUAAAAAACCCUAUGGUUUUAACUAUUUGUGAAUGAAUCCUCCAUAUCAUUUUUCAUCUGAUACAUGAGUUGACUGCCAAAACAACGCCAUUACUUGCAAAUGAAAUUCAUGUACAUGAGGAAAAAAUGAAAAAAUCGGUGGCUUAUCAAUGGAAAAGACAAUAGUCAGCGUGGAUGGUGCAUCAGGUGGUAUUGCUAAAAAGGCGAUAAUUCCCUCCAAAGGUUCGGCUUUUAUACGCUCCUCUACUGUCAUGAUUUCUGAUUUUUCUUAUGUUAUUUGUUUGUCAUAAGUUCUCUUCAAUGGCAAGAAUCCUCAACCUAAAUCUUUGUAAUAACACAGACUUCAGUUGUCAUUGUUGUUUACAUAUUUGGUAUUUGAUUUCUUUAGUCA